rnacentral:rRNA from 1 species
AAUAUUGCACAACGGAGGAAACUCUGAUGCAGCGACGCCGCGUGAACGAUGAAGGCCNNNGGGUUNUCAAGCUCUUUUGUCCGNGACNAUAAUGACGGUACCGGAAGAAUAAGCCCCGGCUAACUUCGUGCCAGCAGCCGCGGUAAUACGAAGGGGGCUAGCGUUGCUCGGAAUCACUGGGCGUAAAGGGCGCGUAGGCGGACGUUUAAGUCAGGGGUGAAAUCCCGGGGCUCAACCUCGGAAUUGCCUUUGAUACUGGAUGUCUCGAGACCGGAAGAGGUAAGUGGAACUGCGAGUGUAGAGGUGAAAUUCGUAGAUAUUCGCAAGAACACCAGUGGCGAAGGCGGCUUACUGGUCCGGUUCUGACGCUGAGGCGCGAAAGCGUGGGGAGCAAACAGG